CUACCAUAUAGUAAGGGAUAACAGUUGGAAACGACUGCUAAUACCAUAUACGCCCUUAGGGGGAAAGAUUUAUCGCUAUAUGAUGAGCCCGCGUAAGAUUAGCUAGUUGGUGAGGUAAUGGCUCACCAAGGCUACGAUCUUUAGCUGGUCUGAGAGGAUGAUCAGCCACACUGGAACUGAGACACGGUCCAGACUCCUACGGGAGGCAGCAGUGGGGAAUAUUGGACAAUGGGCGCAAGCCUGAUCCAGCCAUGCCGCGUGAAUGAUGAAGGCCUUAGGGUUGUAAAGUUCUUUCGCUAUCGAGGAUAAUGACUGUAGAUAGAUAAGAAGCCCCGGCUAACUUCGUGCCAGCAGCCGCGGUAAUACGAAGGGGGCUAGCGUUGUUCGGAAUCACUGGGCGUAAAGCGCGCGUAGGCGGCUAUUCAAGUCAGAGGUGAAAUCCCAGAGCUCAACUUUGGAACUGCCUUUGAAACUGUAUAGCUGGAGUGUUGGAGGGGAUAGCGGAAUUCCUAGUGUAGAGGUGAAAUUCGUAGAUACUAGGAGGAACACCGGUGGCGAAGGCGGCUAUCUGGACAACAACUGACGCUGAGGCGCGAAAGCGUGGGUAUCAAACAGGAUUAGAUACCCUGGUAGUCCACGCUGUAAACGAUGAGUGCUAGCUGUCGGGCCCUUAGGGUUCGGUGGCGCUGCUAACGCAUUAAGCACUCCGCCUGGGGAGUACGGUCGCANNNU
rnacentral:rRNA from 1 species